UUUAAAGAGAGUUUGAUCCUGGCUCAGGACGAACGCUGGCGGCGUGCCUAAUACAUGCAAGUCGAACGAACGGAGGAAGAGCUUGCUCUUCCAAAGUUAGUGGCGGACGGGUGAGUAACACGUGGGCAACCUGCCUGUAAGUUGGGGAUAACUCCGGGAAACCGGGGCUAAUACCGAAUGAUAAGGAGUGACGCAUGUCACUGCUUUGAAAGAUGGUUUCGGCUAUCGCUUACAGAUGGGCCCGCGGUGCAUUAGCUAGUUGGUAGGGUAAAGGCCUACCAAGGCAACGAUGCAUAGCCGACCUGAGAGGGUG
rnacentral:rRNA from 1 species